rnacentral:tRNA from 1 species
GGGGACGUAGCUCAGUUUGGGAGAGCACCACAAUGGCAUUGUGGGGGUCGAGAGUUCGAGCCUCUUCGUCUCCACCA